rnacentral:lncRNA from 1 species
UGCAUUGGGGUGGGUUUGCCUGCUUGCUGUUCACCCCUCCGAGCUCAGCAUGUCUGCAGCCCAGCUGGAUCCAGAGGAGCGGUUCUGAGUAUAGCUGUCGUGGAUGAGAGGAGCUCUCGCUUUCUGAAGCAGCGGGCAGUAGCUGCUGUUACUGACACGCUUCCCAGUGCUGAGAAGCCAAGAGCACACCUGACAGGUAAUGCUUGUUCCAAACCACUGUUUCCUUUGGGUCUUACAGCUGUU